CCCACGGGUGGCUGCAGUGGGGAAUAUUGGACAAUGGGGGGAACCCUGAUCCAGCCAUGCCGCGUGUGUGAAGAAGGCCCUCGGGUUGUAAAGCACUUUCAGUGAGGAAGAACGCCUGGUGGUUAAUACCCAUCAGGAAAGACAUCACUCACAGAAGAAGCACCGGCUAACUCCGUGCCAGCAGCCGCGGUAAUACGGAGGGUGCGAGCGUUAAUCGGAAUUACUGGGCGUAAAGCGCGCGUAGGUGGCUUGAUAAGCCGGUUGUGAAAGCCCCGGGCUCAACCUGGGAACGGCAUCCGGAACUGUCAAGCUAGAGUGCAGGAGAGGAAGGUAGAAUUCCCGGUGUAGCGGUGAAAUGCGUAGAGAUCGGGAGGAAUACCAGUGGCGAAGGCGGCCUUCUGGACUGACACUGACACUGAGGUGCGAAAGCGUGGGUAGCAAACAGGAUUAGAUACCCUGGUUGUC
rnacentral:rRNA from 1 species